AGUGAACGCUGGCGGCAGGCCUAACACAUGCAAGUCGAGCGGCAGCGGGUCCUUCGGGAUGCCGGCGAGCGGCGGACGGGUGAGGAAUACAUCGGAAUCUGCCCUGUCGUGGGGGAUAACCUAGGGAAACUUAGGCUAAUACCGCAUACGACCUACGGGUGAAAGCGGGGGAUCGCAAGACCUCGCGCGACAGGAUGAGCCGAUGUCCGAUUAGCUAGUUGGCGGGGUAAAGGCCCACCAAGGCGACGAUCGGUAGCUGGUCUGAGAGGAUGAUCAGCCACACUGGGACGGAGACACGGCCCAGACUCCUACGGGAGGCAGCAGUGGGGAAUAUUGGACAAUGGGCGCAAGCCUGAUCCAGCCAUGCCGCGUGGGUGAAGAAGGCCUUCGGGUUGUAAAGCCCUUUUGUCCGGGAAGAAAUCGUCUGGGCUAAUACCCCGGGCGGAUGACGGUACCGGAAGAAUAAGCACCGGCUAACUUCGUG
rnacentral:rRNA from 1 species